CUCUGCACUCCCAACUUGAGCUGUACUUUUUAAGAAAGUGAUUCACCCUGCCUUUGCCCCCUUCCCCAGAACAGAACACGUUGAUCAUGGGCGGUAUUUUUCAUUGUGCCAAAAAGUUGCCAUGACUGUCAUUAAACCUGUUUAACACCAAAUAAUAAGGAAAAUAAAAUAAAAAAUUCGGGCUUGGUGCAGAAACUCACUCCAAAUACAUUACCUUUAAAAAUAUUUAUAUAAUGGUAGAAAUAUUCCAAAAUUCCAUAUUUUGAGAUUUAUACACAAAAGAUAAACAAAUUAGAGGCCAAGAAAAACGGGGCCUGGAAAGGCCGUUGUGAGGAAUGAGCUGGGCCUAAAGAGGCCACUGGCAGGCAGGAGCUGGGACUGCCAAAGCGGCCGAAAGGCAGGAGCUUUGGACUGGGGAGGCCGCAGUGAGGCGAGAGCUAGCUGGGCGUGGAGAGUCCACUGUGAGGCUGAGGCUGGGCCUGUGCAGGCCUUCGAGAGGCAGGAAGCCAGGCCUGCAAAGGCCGACUGGAGGUCAAGUUCUGGGCCUGAAGAGGCCACCAAAAGUCAAAAGCGGGGCCUGGGAAGGCCACUGAGAGCCACGAGCUGGGCUGGGCCGAAAGAGGCCACUGGGAGGCAGGAGAAGCUGGGCCUGGAGAGGCUGACUCGAGGAAGUUUUGCACCGGGAGAGGCCGCCGAGAGGACGGAGCUGGGCCCGGGGAGGCCAACUUGCAGCUCUUCCAGGCCCACUUCCAGGCCAACUUAAGGACGACUUAGGCCUGCAGAGGCCGCCGGGAGGCUGGAGCUGGGCCUGGAGAGGCCGACUUCAGCACGAUUUAGGCCUGCAGAGGUCGCCGGGAGGCCCAAGCUGGGCCUAGAGGAGCCCACCGACCGGAGGCCGUUUGGGGCCUGGAGAUGCCGUCGGAGGGCAGGAGCUGAGCCUGGCGAGGCCACCGUGAGGCCUGACCUGGGCCUGGGGAGCUUGGCUUCAGGAAGUUGUGGGCCUACCAGGGCCACUGGGAGCUGGGCGGGAGCUGAGUCCAAAGACAUUGUUGGGAGGCCGGAGUCGGGCCUGGAGAUGCAGCCGGGAGGAAGAGCUGGGCCCGGAGAGGACGCCGGGAGGCUGCAAGUGGGUCUGGAGAGGCCGACUUGAGGAGGCCCGGCCUCUGCCUCCCGCAUGGUGGCCUCUGCAGGCCCAGCUGUUCCUCCUGGCUGCAUCUCUCGGCCCAGCUCCUGCCUCCCAGCAAGCAAGCUCUUUUGGCUCAGCUCCCGCCGGUGUUUGUAGACCCCGAAGUUUCUGCAGCCAAGCUCUUCAGGCCCACAUACUGCCUCCCAGUGGCCUGUAGAGUCCCAGCUCUGGCAGCAGAAGAGCAUCUGCAGGCCCCGCUGUUGCCUCCCAGGGGCGUCUCCAGGCCCAGCUCUCGCCCCACCGCAGCCUCUCGGGGCCAAGUCCCUGCCUGCUCCCGGCAGCCUGCGUGCAGUCCUGCUCCUCCCUCACGGUGGCCUGUUGAGGCAGGGGCUCACGCUGACCUCUCUCCGCGUGGGAGGGGCCAGUGUGAGGCAAGGGGUCAGCGUGGGAGGGGCCCGUGUGAGGCAAGGGGUCAGCGUGGGAGGGGCCCGUGUGAGGCAAGGGGUCAGCAUGGGAGGGGCUGGUGUGAGGCAAGGGGUCAGCGUGGGAGGGGCCGGUGUGAGGCAAGGGGUCAGCGUGGGAGGGGCCGGUGUGAGGCAAGGGGUCAGCGUGGGAGGGGCCGGUGUGAGGCAAGGGGUCAGCAUGGGAGGGGCCGGUGUGAGGCAAGGGGUCAGCAUGGGAGGGGCCGGUGUGAGGCAAGGGGCUCACGCCGACCUCUCUCAGCGUGGGAGGGGCCGGUGUGAGGCAAGGGGCUCAUGCCGACCUUCCUCAGCGUGGGAGGGGUCGGUGUGAGGCAGGGACUCACGCCUCUGGGCAGGGUGCCAGAGGCAUGAGUUGGGCAUCAACAGGCCACCGUGAGGGAGGAGCUGGGCCGCACGCGGGCUGCUGGGAGGCAGGCAGGGACUUGUCCCCGGGAGGCUGCCGUGGGGGCGAGAGCUGGGCCUGGAGAGGCCCCUGGGAGGCAAGAGCGGGACCUGCAGAGGCUGUUCUACAGCCAAAGCUGGGCCUGUACAGGCCACCGAGAGGCAGUAGGUGGGCCCGAAGAGCUUGGCUGGAGAAAGUUCGGGGCCUACAAAGGCGGCUGGGAGCUGGGCAGGAGUUGAGCCAAAAGGGCUUGCUUACUUGCUGGGAGGCAGGGCCGGGAGACGCCGACUUCAGGACGACUUGGGCCUGCAGAGGUCACCGGGAGGCCCAAGCUGGGCGUGGAGGAGCCCACCGACCGGAGACCAUUUGGGGCCUGGAGACGCCAUCGGAGGGCAGGAGCUGAUCCUGGAGAGGCCACCGUGAGGCCUGACCUGGGCCUGGGGAGCUUGGCUUGAGGAAGCUGUGGGCCGACCAAGGCCGCCAGGAGAUGGGCAGGCGCUGAGUCCAAAGAGGUUGUUGGGAGGCAGCAGUCGGGCCUGGAGACGCAGCCGGGAGGAAGAGCUGGGCCCGGAGAGGACGCCGGGAGGCUGCAAG
rnacentral:lncRNA from 1 species